rnacentral:rRNA from 1 species
AACGAACGCUGGCGGCAGGCUUAACACAUGCAAGUCGAACGGGCGUAGCAAUACGUCAGUGGCGGACGGGUGAGUAACACGUGGGAAUAUGCCUUUCGGUUCGGAACAACUCGGGGAAACCCGUGCUAUUCCGGAUACGCCCUUACGGGGAAGAUUUAUCGCCGAAAGAUUAGCCCGCGUUGGAUUAGCUAGGUUGGUGAGGUAAAGGCUCACCUAAGGCGACGACUCCAUAGCUGGUUUGAGAGAACGACCAGCCAC